AAGAUGACAGCUCACCAUCCCACCAAGGCUUCGGAAGCCAGAGCUUGUGGGGCCUGGCAAGAGGCUCUGGGCUACAGGGCUCCACCUGGGUCCUCCCCAUUCCUCUCCCUGGUGACUCCCAGCCUGAAAGAAGCCAGAGGACUUUGUCAUCUGUCUACCCUGUGGUACCUUAGUCCUUUAAAUGAGUGUAUAAAGCUUGCUAAAUCUCUUUGUCUUGGAGAUUGACUU
rnacentral:lncRNA from 1 species